rnacentral:ncRNA from 1 species
CCGUACUAAAAGUGACGAUUAUUGUGUUUCGUCACUUUAAGUAGUACUGAAGUGAUACCGUUUGUUUUAGUGAUAAGAAAUGCGACUGCAGAUAGCACGAGUUAAAGUGACGAAAAUCAUAACUUCCGAUUGGGGGCACAGAGCGGUUGCGCGCUUAAAGUGGAAGUGCGAGCGGUUACGGGCGCUGGAGGCUCGUAGCGAUUCUGACGUGCAAAUCGAUCGUCAAAUUUGGGUAUAGGGGCGAAAGACUAAUCGAACCAUCUAGUAGCUGGUUCCUGCCGAAGUUUCCCUCAGGAUAGCAGAAACUCAUAUCAGAUUUAUGUGGUAAAGCGAAUGAUUAGAGGCCUUGGGGUUGAAACAACCUUAACCUAUUCUCAAACUUUAAAUAUGUAAGAACGAGCCGUCGCUUGAUUGGACCGCUCGGCGAUUGAGAGUUUCUAGUGGGCCAUUUUUGGUAAGCAGAACUGGCGAUGCGGGAUGAACCGAACGCGAGGUUAAGGUGCCGGAAUACACGCUCAUCAGACACCACAAAAGGUGU